rnacentral:rRNA from 1 species
GACGAACGCUGGCGGCGUGCUUAACACAUGCAAGUCGAACGGAAAGGCCCUGCUUUUGUGGGGUGCUCGAGUGGCGAACGGGUGAGUAACACGUGAGUAACCUGCCCUUGACUUUGGGAUAACUUCAGGAAACUGGGGCUAAUACCGGAUAGGGGCUCCUGCUGCAUGGUGGGGGUUGGAAAGUUUCGGCGGUUGGGGAUGGACUCGCGGCUUAUCAGCUUGUUGGUGGGGUAGUGGCUUACCAAGGCUUUGACGGGUAGCCGGCCUGAGAGGGUGACCGGCCACAUUGGGACUGAGAUACGGCCCAGACUCCUACGGGAGGCAGCAGUGGGGAAUAUUGCACAAUGGGCGGAAGCCUGAUGCAGCAACGCCGCGUGCGGGAUGACGGCCUUCGGGUUGUAAACCGCUUUCGCCUGUGACGAAGCGUGAGUGACGGUAAUGGGUAAAGAAGCACCGGCUAACUACGUGCCAGCAGCCGCGGUGAUACGUAGGGUGCGAGCGUUGUCCGGAUUUAUUGGGCGUAAAGGGCUCGUAGGUGGUUGAUCGCGUCGGAAGUGUAAUCUUGGGGCUUAACCCUGAGCGUGCUUUCGAUACGGGUUGACUUGAGGAAGGUAGGGGAGAAUGGAAUUCCUGGUGGAGCGGUGGAAUGCGCAGAUAUCAGGAGGAACACCAGUGGCGAAGGCGGUUCUCUGGGCCUUUCCUGACGCUGAGGAGCGAAAGCGUGGGGAGCGAACAGGCUUAGAUACCCUGGUAGUCCACGCUGUAAACGGUGGGUACUAGGUGUGGGGUCCAUUCCACGGGUUCCGUGCCGUAGCUAACGCUUUAAGUACCCCGCCUGGGGAGUACGGCCGCAAGGCUAAAACUCAAAGGAAUUGACGGGGCCCCGCACAAGCGGCGGAGCAUGCGGAUUAAUUCGAUGCAACGCGUAGAACCUUACCUGGGUUUGACAUGGAUCGGGAGUGCUCAGAGAUGGGUGUGCCUCUUUUGGGGUCGGUUCACAGGUGGUGCAUGGCUGUCGUCAGCUCGUGUCGUGAGAUGUUGGGUUAAGUCCCGCAACGAGCGCAACCCUUGUUCACUGUUGCCAGCACGUUAUGGUGGGGACUCAGUGGAGACCGCCGGGGUCAACUCGGAGGAAGGUGGGGAUGACGUCAAGUCAUCAUGCCCCUUAUGUCCAGGGCUUCACGCAUGCUACAAUGGCUGGUACAGAGAGUGGCGAGCCUGUGAGGGUGAGCGAAUCUCGGAAAGUCGGUCUCAGUUCGGAUUGGGGUCUGCAACUCGACCUCAUGAAGUCGGAGUCGCUAGUAAUCGCAGAUCAGCAACGCUGCGGUGAAUACGUUCCCGGGGCU